UUUCUGUCUCAAUGUCAGUGUGAAAGUCCUAAUAUCUUUACGAGGUUGAAAUAGCAUUACAGAAAGAGCAGCCAGAACCUACUCCCAAUUGGCCAGCAUCAAAGCAGGAGCUUAUCCCUAUGACACUACUAAUGACGAAUACCAAGUGUGAAGGGUAUCCAUUUAUCUUGCUGUCUAGCGGUACUUUCUGGAGAGAAGCUGCCAUCCAAAGCAUUCUUUCU
rnacentral:lncRNA from 1 species